GGCAAACACUCAAUUUGGACUUUUAAUAUUAUAAGACCACGGGUUGCUUUGGGAUGUAUAAUCUUUGAAAACAAGUUAUAUGGGCCCCUUCCAUUUCACAGACGCAGAGCAGUUGAAUACAAAGAGAUUAAAUAUUCUGAUUGCAGUUUUGAGCAUUUUGGCAGACAGCUGUAGAGGGGUAUUCCGUUCAUUGUAAAAGAGGGAUAAAGCAAUGGACAGUUUCAGGCAUUCUUUGAGUUUGCCACAGAAAAGGAUCCAAAAUGAAGUAGAAAAGAGGAGUGAAGUUGAAAUCCGAUCCAAAAAUGAUUAGUUGUAAACGACCCGAGCCAGGUAUAUUUAUAACGAGAUUCUUGGAGGAUGAAAUUGGGCUCUUUUUUGCAGUUAAUGAUGUGUGAGAGCUAGUAAUCUUGUUCUUAAUAAUAAUGAUAAUGAUAAUGAUAAUAAUGAGCAGUCAGGUCUAGUUUCAUUUAUUAGGGCACUUCGAUUAUUCAUCAGCCUUUUGACGUAACUAUGAUCUCUUUUAUAACAAAUACCAGAUUGAUAUGCUCCGUAUAUUGAAGGUAAACGUUAACUUUUGUUAGCAUGCAUAAUACCAUCCACGCUUUCUGCCAACAUAAUACUAGUCAAGUUCCUUGUUAAACAAAUACCAAACACUUUGUAGCUUAGCAGUAUUAAAUGGUGAAGGGUUAUAA
rnacentral:lncRNA from 1 species